CAAAUCCUCCGCUGAAUCUAGUAUGAAAAGGAAAACAUUGUGGGUGGUUUAAGAGUAUGCAAUUCAAUUAAAAUGACCAUUACUAAUUUUUCAGUACCAGAUUUUCAACUGGAUUGCCACUGUGGUCAAUUCUUGUAACAGCAUUUCCAAAGCCAUCAGCAGGUUUCAUGCCCAGUGUGGAGCCCAAUGUAGGGCUUGAACUUACUACUCUGAGACCAAGUCCUGAGGUAAGAUCAACAGUUGGAUGCUUAACCCACUGAACCAUGUCCCUGCCCUUAUUUUUAACUUUACCUGUUGCAUUUAAGAGGUCAAGAAGAAAUGACCGUUUGUCUACUUCUUCCACCCAAACUACUUUCUGUGUGAUGUUCUCAGAGGUAGAGCCAACUCUCCCUACAGCCAGAAAGAUAUAUUCAUCCAAAAAAUCACGAGCAAGCAUCUGCAAAAGGGGGAAAAAAAACUUUUUAUACUCUACUUAAAAAUGUAAAAUUAUCUUGAAAAUACUUACUUGCAAAUGCUCUAAAAAUUUUUACCAGACAAUACCUGUAUUUCCUUAGGGAAAGUAGCACUAAACAUCAUAGUGUGGCGAAUACCCUUUGGUGGCAUGGUAUCUUGUUCAACUAUACGACGUAUCUGAGGUUCAAAUCCCAUAUCCAGCAUCCUAUCUGCUUCAUCCAAUACUAAGUAUCUAUUAUGAAAAGUACUCAUUUUAGAAUUUGAUGAGAACUGACCACUGAACGUACAAAUAUAAUAUUCAUUCUAAUAUUGGCCUCACAAUUUAACACUUGUGAAACCCAUACAUCCUGUAAUAUUUAACUCUGUCCCAAUGAAUCGUACAGGUAAAACUGAUUUUCAAAAACUAUGUUAAAAGUUUAAUCACUAAAAUUACGUUUUAAUGUUAAAACAGUAUUUCUGAAACACUACAAAAUGACCAUCAGUGUAAAAGAAGUCACAUUUCAUACAUAAUACAUACUUGCAGAAGUCUAAUCCAAUCUUUCCUCUUUCCAUCAUAUCCACCAGACGUCCUGGAGUGGCAACUAACAAAUGACAUCCACGUUCUAAAUCUCGAAUCUGCUGACCAAUAUCA